rnacentral:lncRNA from 12 species
UUUCCAUUUUAUUCUCAUCAUGUUUUAUUAUAUGUAUUUCAUUUUUACACACCAUUUUUAUUAAUAGUUUAAUUGAUUUAUUGUUUUAUUCAGUUUAUUAUAUUUCAUAUUUCAUAAUCUACUUUCCAUUUUAUUCUCAUUUACUGUAGUUAUAUAUUUAUAAUUAAUUUUUUUGAUUUUUUCUAUUCUAUUUUAUUCACAUCAUGUAUUCUUUACAUUUUAUUAUAUACUUAGGUUCUAUUUUACAUUUUAUUCACAUCAUGUUUAUUAAUAGUUUAUUAGAUUUAUUUUGUUUUAUAUUAUAUUUAUAUUUUAUUAAAAUAUUUUAUAAAUCUAUAUUUCAUUCAUGUUUUUUGCUAGUUUUUAUUUAUUCUAUUUGAUUCACAUCAAAUUUCAUAUUUAUUAUAUUCUAUAUUUUAUUUUCCAUUUUUACGCACAAUGUUUAUUUUUUUUCAGUUUUUAUUCAGUUUAUUAUAUUUUAUAAUCUACUUUCCAUUUUAUUCACAUUUAUUGCUAUUUUUAUUUUUAUUCUAUUCUAUUUUAUUCACAUCAUGUUUCUUUUUAUUUUAUUGUAUUUAUUCCGUUAUAUAUUGCAUUUAUUAUAUUUUAUUCACAUCAUAUUUCUCAAUAGUUAAUUAUAUAUUUAGGUUCUAUUUCCCAUUUUUUUCAGGUCAUGUUCAUCAACAGUCAGAUGCAGAUUAAUGAUGGGUCAGAUGGUCUGAAGGCCGUACCCAUGCUGGCCAGAAGAGCAGUGAUGGCCUGAACAUCAGCUCCAGCGAAGAUGUCCGACAGAGAGUUGACCACCGGCAGACACAGCGUGUGCACACGGAUCCUCCGCUCUCCUGCAACAGCACAGAAGAGCACAGCCAGCGUCACAUGAUCAGUCAGCGUCACAUGACACGUCACAUGAUCAGUCGAGCGUCACAUGAUCAGUGGAGCGGCGCGCACCUUUGCUGGCGGUGUAGAGCAGCGCGGCCUGGAAGGACACGGUCUGCAGGUCCAGCAGGUUCUCCUCGAUGCUCAUCUGCACGGCGAAGCCGGCGUCGGGGUUCACGUUGGGCAGAGACAGCAGGUCGGUGGAGCGCACGAAGAAGUUCCCGUGGAAGGUGUGUAUGGACAGACCUGCAGACGACAGAAGAACACGUCAGUGCUCAGCAGGGCUGGACUCAGACCGACGCCUCACUCCACACACCUUUAGUGCAGCGGAUCCUCAUCACGGCCUCGAAGCCGAUCUUGCGCGUCAGGUAUCUCUUCAGAUCCUUCUGGAGGCGCUCCGUCUGA